UUACAGGUGUGAGCCACCAUGCCCGGCCAAGAGUCUGUAUUUUCAACAAGUUCCCAGGAAUUCGGAGAUCUAGAAGUAUUAACAGCUAUCUUUGAAGUUACUGACGUAGAAAAAAACUCCUGUGGGCCAGGGACUCCUCUGCAGGAUCACCUGACAAUUGUAGUUCUUCAAGACUUUAUUUUCAUUUCUCUUAUCAUCUUCAGGCUCCGCUGGUGAUACCCAGGCAAACAGGGUCUGGAGUGGACCUCCAGCAAACUCCAACAGUCCUGCAGCUGACGGACCUGUUAGAAGGAAAACUAACAAACAGAAAGGAAUAGCAUCAACAUCAACAAAAAGGACAUCUACACCAAAACCCCAUCUGUAGGUUACCAACAUCAAAGACCAAAGGUAGAUAAAACCACAAAGAUGGGGAGAAACCAGAGCAGAAAAGCUGAAAAUUCUAAAAACCGGAGCGUCUCUUCUCCUCCAAAAGAUCACAGCUCCUCGCCAGCAAUGGAACAAAGCUGGAUGGAGAAUGACUUUGAUGAGUUGACAGAAAUAGGCUUCAGAAGGUCGGUAGUAACAAACUUCUCUGAGCUAAGGGAGCAUGGUCUAACCCAUCGCAAGGAAGCUAAAAACCUUGAAAAAAGGUUAAACGAAUGGCUAACUAGAAUAAACAGUGUAGAGAAGACCUUAAAUGAUCUGAUGAAGCUGAAAAGCAUGGCACGAGAACUUCGUGAUGCAUGCACAAGCUUCAAUAGCCGAUUCGAUCAAGUGGAAGAAAGGGUAUCAGUGAUUGAAGAUCAAAUUAAUUUGAAAUAAAGCAAGAAGACAAGUUUAGAGAAAAAAAGAGUAAAAUGAAACGAACAAAGCCUCCAAGAAAAUAUGGGACUUACAUGAAAAGACCAAAUCUAUGUCUGAUUGGUGUACCUGAAAGUGACGGGGAGAAUGGAAGCAAGUUGGAAAACACUCUUCAGGAUAUUAUCCAGGAGAACUUCCCCAACCUACCAAGGCAGGCCAACAGUCAAAUUCAGGAAAUACAGAAAAUACCACAAAGAUACUCCUCGAGAACAGCGACCCCAAGACACAUAAUUGUCAGAUUCACCAAGGUUGAAGUGAAGGAAAAAAUGUUAAGGGCAGCCAGAGAGAAAGGUUGGGUUACCCACAAACGGAAGCCCAUCAGACUAACAGUGGAUCUCUCAGCAGAAACCCUACAAUCCAGAAGAGAGUGGGGGCCGAUAUUCACACAUUCUUAAAGAAAAGAAUUUUCAACCCAGAAUUUCAUAUCCAGCCAAACUAAGCUUCAUAAGUGAAGGACAGAUAAAAUCCUUUACAGACAAGCAAAUGCUGAGAGAUUUUGUCACCACCAGGCUUGCCUUACAAGAGCUCCUGAAGGAAGCACUAAACAUAGAAAGGAACACCGGUACCAGCCACUGCAAAAACAUGCCAAAUUGUAAAGACCAUCAAUGCUAUGAAGAAACUGCAUCAAUUAAUGGGCAAAAUAACCAGCUAACAUCAUAAUGACAGGAUCCAAUUCAAACAUAACAAUAUUAACCUUAAAUGUAAAUGGGCUAAAUGCCCCAAUUAAAAGACACAGACUAGCAAAUUGAAUAAAGAGUCAAGACCCAUCAGUGUGCUGUAUUCAGGAGACCCAUCUCACAUGCAGAGACACACAUAGGCUCAAAAUAAAGGGAUGGAGGAAGAUCUACCAAGAAAAUGGAAAGCUAAAAAAAGCAAGGGUUGCAAUCCUAGUCUCUGACAAAUUAUUUCAAGUGCACAUUAAGCAACAAGCAUUUUUUGAGUUCCUGAACAUCUGUUGCAUCAACAAUCACAGUACCUGUACUAACAUAUUACUAAAGACUCAAACAAAACUUGGAGGUUCAUGUUAUUUGCUUUAUUUCUGUAUAUGUUAACAGUUUUUCAUUAAAAAAAUUUUUUAAAACUCUUCAAACAUAAAUUCCAUGAAUCC
rnacentral:lncRNA from 1 species